AGAUAGCCUCAAAAAAGGACAUUUCCAUUGGGGCUUUGAAAGAUAAGAUACAACACAGAAUCAAAGAUGGUUUCUGUGUCACUUACGACAGCAGUACCAACCAGGAGAUUUCCCUGCGUCCUGGUGGAGACCUCACCUCAUAACUCUGGGAUGACCGUGGAUCCCUUUGGCAAUGAGUUUGUUAAUGGUGGUGUGUUGGUGUCACCUGGUGACAGAAGCCUGAACUGCAGCUUGAACACUGUGGAGCAGUAGAGUGGGAGAGAGAAGCUGUGGCCCAAGCACACUAGAAAAUCUGGGUAAAAAAGAGGGCAUUCCCUGUGUACAGGGAUACUGAGUCAUUCAGACAGAAAAUAUAGUAUCUUACUGUGCUGAAAUGAAAGCAAUAUGUGACAGAAACAACAUAAUAACUUUUAUUUUGUAUGCUUUCAGACCUCUGGGUAAAUACUAGCUAGAGGUUUGUACAAGCAAAAAUGGAAUUACGGCAUUUAAGAUUUUAAUAACCUACCUCUACCCUUAUUAUGACCAUGUUCUAUAACAUUUAAAGUUACCUUACAACAUAAUUUUAAUAUUUGUAUAUGAAUAUUUCAUCAUAUGAUUUCUUGAACUUUAUUUCACCAGUAUUCUACAGGUGAAAAUGUAGCUCACUUACUAUAGUUUCUAUUGAAAACAAUAAUAUACUUAAUCUUCUGCUCAUAUAUGUAAACAUCUUUAUAAGUAUUUAUGCUUGAAAUCGUCCUUUCAAGGAAACUAUAAAGAGUUAUAUUAACAAAAUGCACUCAAACUACUAGUGCCAAUUUAUGUUCCUAACAUCACUAUGUAGAAGUACCUGUUCCUCCACACAUGAGGAAUAAUGGGAAUCAUUGCCAAUCUGAUAGGCGACAAACUACUACUCGUCAUUGCUCUCAUUAUAACUCAUUUUCACUGCCUGCCUAGAAUUCCAUCUUAUGAAUGUGAUAUAAUCCAUUUUCCUAAGCUUGUGUUAUUUAGAAUGUUCUGAUAUUUACUAUUAUUAAAACUGUGUCGACAGCAU
rnacentral:lncRNA from 1 species